CAGGGUUCCAGAAUCAUUCAUUAGCCCACUGGUCAUGCAGACCAGCUGUUUAGUGACCCAGGAAAACCUCCCAGUGUCUCGUUUUUACUGAGAAGGAAGAUCCACCAAGAAGUCAAGCCAAAAGACAACUCUCCAAUAAGGAAAAUGGUUUAAAUCUCUCUGAGGCUCCAGGAUUGGCAAAAAUGUUUUCUUAAAACUAUCCCAUGAAUCAAAGAGAAAAAUGACCAUCCCUUCCAUUUUACAGAAGAAGAAACUAGGUCUCCAAGGUGGAGAAGUGAAUUGCUGACAGCCUCACAAGCCAUGGACAAACCUCUUACCAUCUGUGGGCCUCUGUUUCCUCCCUGGUGACACAUGGGAGCUCGACUAGGUCUGGCUAUGAUCCUGGAUGCCACGAGUCCACCAACUCCCAUUUCCCCAAGAGCUUAGGGAGAAAAUCCAUCAGUCAGUCAACAGGCAGUCACUGUCACAGGAAAUGCCAGCAGAACUGUCAGCAAGGCCCGUUUGGGGUUCUCCUCGGGGCCGAGGUUAUAGGACAUGAUGGGAAGGCGUUUCACUGCCCCGGCGCUUGUUCUUUGGGAUAGGCAGGGCAGAGAUGAAAUGCCCAAGAGUAUACUUCUGGAUAGAAACAGAUGGGGAGGCCUAGCGGUGUGACUAUGGCCAAGUCCUCUGUGUCCUCUCCUAUAAAACAGGGAUAAAAUAGCUUGUACCACCCCUGGGCAGUGAGAAGAAUAAAAAGAAAAUAGCUCA